CUGUGGAGAGCGCGUCUUCCCCGCCGCGCCCUCUGCGCGAGGAGGAGACUCGACAGCAUGUCACCCGCGCUCCAAGACCUGUCGCAACCCGCAGGUCUGAAGAAAACCCCGCGGGAUGAGAUCGAUGCCAUUCUGCGGAAGAGGAUUAUGGUGCUGGAUGGAGGGAUGGGGACCAUGAUCCAGCGGCAGAAGCUAAACGAAGAACACUUCCGAGGUCAGGAAUUUAAAGAUCAUGCUAGGCCGCUGAAAGGCAACAACGACAUUUUAAGUAUAACUCAGCCGGAUGUCAUUUACCAAAUCCAUAAGGAAUACUUGCUGGCUGGGGCAGAUAUCAUUGAAACAAAUACUUUCAGCAGCACUAGUAUUGCCCAAGCUGACUAUGGCCUUGAACACUUGGCCUACCAGAUGAACAAGUGCUCUGCAGGAGUGGCCAGAAAAGCUGCCGAGGAGAUAACUCUCCAGACAGGAAUUAAGAGGUUUGUGGCAGGGGCUCUGGGUCCGACUAAUAAGACACUCUCUGUGUCCCCGUCUGUGGAAAAACCAGAUUAUAGAAACAUCACAUUUGAUGAGCUUGUUGAAGCAUACCAAGAGCAGGCCAAAGGACUUCUGGAUGGCGGAGUUGAUAUCUUACUCAUUGAAACUAUUUUUGAUACUGCCAAUGCCAAGGCAGCUGUGUUUGCACUCCAAAACCUUUUUGAGGAGAAAUAUGCUCCCCGGCCUAUCUUUAUUUCAGGGACGAUUGUUGAUAAAAGUGGACGGACUCUUUCUGGACAGACAGGAGAGGCAUUUGUCGUCAGCUUGUCUCAUGCAGAACCACUCUGCAUUGGAUUAAAUUGUGCUUUGGGUGCAGCUGAAAUGAGACCUUUUAUUGAAAUAAUUGGAAAAUGUACAACAGCCUAUGUCCUCUGUUAUCCCAAUGCAGGUCUUCCCAACACCUUUGGUGAUUAUGAUGAAACGCCUUCUAUGAUGGCCAAGCACCUAAAGGAUUUUGCUAUGGAUGGCUUGAUCAAUAUAGUUGGAGGAUGCUGUGGUUCAACACCAGAUCAUAUCAGGGAAAUUGCUGAAGCUGUGAAAAAUUGUAAGCCUAGAGUUCCACCUGCCACUGUUUUUGAAGGACAUAUGUUACUGUCUGGUCUGGAGCCCUUCAGGAUUGGACAGUACACCAACUUUGUUAACAUUGGAGAGCGCUGUAACGUUGCAGGAUCAAGGAAGUUUGCUAAACUCAUCAUGGCAGGAAACUAUGAAGAAGCCUUGGGUGUUGCCAGAGUGCAGGUGGAAAUGGGAGCCCAGGUGCUGGAUAUCAACAUGGAUGAUGGCAUGCUAGAUGGUCCAAGUGCAAUGACCAGAUUUUGCAACUUAAUUGCUUCCGAGCCAGACAUCGCAAAGGUACCUUUGUGCAUUGACUCCUCCAAUUUUGCUGUGAUUGAAGCUGGGUUAAAGUGCUGCCAAGGGAAGUGCAUUGUCAAUAGUGUUAGUCUGAAGGAAGGAGAGGAUGACUUCUUGGAGAAGGCCAGGAAGAUUAAAAAGUUUGGAGCUGCUAUGGUGGUCAUGGCUUUUGAUGAAGAAGGACAGGCAACAGAAACGGACACGAAAAUCAGAGUGUGCACCCGGGCCUACCAUCUUCUUGUGAAAAAACUGGGCUUUAAUCCAAAUGACAUCAUUUUUGACCCUAAUAUCCUAACUAUUGGGACUGGAAUGGAAGAACACAACUUGUAUGCCAUUAAUUUUAUCCAUGCAACAAAAGUCAUUAAAGAAACAUUACCUGGAGCCAGAAUAAGUGGAGGUCUUUCCAACUUGUCCUUCUCCUUCCGAGGAAUGGAAGCCAUUCGAGAAGCAAUGCAUGGGGUUUUCCUUUACCAUGCAAUCAAGUCUGGCAUGGACAUGGGGAUAGUGAAUGCUGGAAACCUCCCUGUGUAUGAUGAUAUCCAUAAGGAACUUCUGCAGCUCUGUGAAGAUCUCAUCUGGAAUAAAGACCCUGAGGCCACGGAGAAGCUCUUACGUUAUGCCCAGACUCAAGGCACAGGAGGGAAGAAAGUCAUUCAGACUGAUGAGUGGAGAAAUGGCCCUGUCGAAGAACGUCUUGAGUAUGCACUUGUGAAGGGCAUUGAAAAACAUAUUAUUGAGGAUACUGAGGAAGCCAGGUUAAACCAAGAAAGAUAUCCCCGACCUCUCAAUAUAAUUGAAGGACCCCUGAUGAAUGGAAUGAAAAUUGUUGGUGAUCUUUUUGGAGCUGGAAAAAUGUUUCUACCUCAGGUUAUAAAGUCAGCCCGGGUUAUGAAGAAGGCUGUUGGCCAUCUUAUCCCUUUCAUGGAAAAAGAAAGAGAAGAAACCAGAGUGCUUAACGGCACAAUAGAAGAAGAGGACCCUUACCAGGGCACCAUCGUGCUGGCCACUGUUAAAGGCGACGUGCACGACAUAGGCAAGAACAUAGUUGGAGUAGUCCUUGGCUGCAAUAAUUUCCGAGUUAUUGAUUUAGGAGUCAUGACUCCAUGUGAUAAGAUACUGAAAGCUGCUCUUGACCACAAAGCAGAUAUAAUUGGCCUGUCAGGACUCAUCACUCCUUCCCUGGAUGAAAUGAUUUUUGUUGCCAAGGAAAUGGAGAGAUUAGCUAUAAAGAUUCCAUUGUUGAUUGGAGGAGCCACCACUUCAAGAACCCACACAGCGGUUAAAAUAGCUCCAAGAUACAGUGCGCCUGUAAUCCACGUCCUGGAUGCAUCCAAGAGUGUCGUGGUGUGUUCUCAGCUGUUAGAUGAAAAUCUAAAGGAUGAAUACUUUGAGGAAAUCAUGGAAGAAUAUGAAGAUAUUAGACAGGACCAUUAUGAGUCUCUCAAGGAGAGGAGAUACUUACCCUUAAGUCAAGCCAGAAAAAGUGGUUUCCAAAUGGAUUGGCUGUCUGAACCUCACCCAGUGAAGCCCACGUUUAUUGGGACCCAGGUCUUUGAAGACUAUGACCUGCAGAAGCUGGUGGACUACAUUGACUGGAAGCCUUUCUUUGAUGUCUGGCAGCUCCGGGGCAAGUACCCGAAUCGAGGCUUUCCCAAGAUAUUUAACGACAAAACAGUAGGUGAAGAGGCCAAAAAGGUCUACGAUGAUGCCCAAAAUAUGCUGAACACACUGAUUAAUCAAAAGAAACUCCAAGCCCGGGGUGUGGUUGGGUUCUGGCCAGCACAGAGUAUCCAAGACGACAUUCACCUGUACACAGAGAGUGCCGUGCCCCAGGCUGCAGAGCCCAUAGCCACCUUCUAUGGGUUAAGGCAACAGGCCGAGAAGGACUCUGCCAGCACGGAGCCAUACUACUGCCUUUCGGACUUCAUUGCUCCUCUGCAUUCUGGCAUCCGUGACUACCUGGGCCUGUUUGCCGUUGCCUGCUUUGGGGUGGAAGAACUGAGCAAGGCCUAUGAGGAUGACGGUGACGACUACAGCAGCAUCAUGGUCAAGGCGCUGGGGGACCGGCUGGCAGAGGCCUUUGCAGAAGAGCUCCAUGAAAGAGUCCGCCGAGAACUGUGGGCCUACUGUGGCAGUGAGCAGCUGGACGUCGCAGACCUGCGCAGGCUGCGGUACGAGGGCAUCCGCCCGGCUCCCGGCUACCCCAGCCAGCCCGACCACACCGAGAAGCUCACCAUGUGGAGACUCGCGGACAUCGAGCAGUCUACGGGCAUUAGGUUAACAGAAUCAUUAGCAAUGGCACCUGCUUCAGCAGUCUCAGGCCUCUACUUCUCCAAUUUGAAGUCCAAAUAUUUUGCUGUGGGGAAGAUUUCCAAGGAUCAGGUUGAGGAUUAUGCAUUGAGGAAGAACCUGUCUGUGGCUGAGGUUGAGAAAUGGCUUGGACCCAUCUUGGGAUAUGAUACAGACUAACUUUUUUUUUUUUUUUUUUUUUUGGCCUUUUUUUGUUCUUGAUGAUCCUCAAGGAAACACAACCUGGAGUGCCUUAAAAAUAACAACAACAAAAAUCCUGUGUACAUCUGACUGACACUUCCCUACUUCUGGUUUUCGAAGACUAUUUAGUGGAACCUUGUAGAGGAGCAGGGUCUUCCCACAGUGCCUGGAAGAGCAGUGAACAGGGCUCCUGUAGUUUCCCUGGUCCCUCUGAGAUGGGGACAGACUGAAGACAGGUCUUCUGCAUUUCAAAGCAAGUCAACUUGCUUUUUUCUAUUUUUAGAGUGGAAUCUAGGAGGCCACUUAGUCCUCUUUUUUUCCUCUUAGAAGAAAAGCCUGAAACUGAGUUGAAUAGAGAAGUGUGACCCUGUAACAAAACGAUACUGUGAGAAAUGGGGCAUUUUAAUCUAAGUGGUUAUAACAGUGGAUUCUGACGGGGAAGGUGUAGCUCUGUUCUUUUCGGAAGACCUAUUUUCUAAAGGCUGGAUUAAAUGGUUGCAGAACUGCCUUUGGCAAAAGGCAUGCUCUCACUGCUUGCUUGUCAGAAACACUGAAGCUCUUUGCCCCAGUGUGGUCAGGCAGCCAUGCUCUCUGGGCAUUUUCAUCCUCCCAUAAUUUCAUAUUUCCGUGCCCCUGAGGAAACAAAAAGGAAAUGAGGAGAGAAAGUUACUGUUAAGGAUUGUUAACAUCUUCUAAUUGUUUUCAGGAUUGAGCAGGUUCUCAGCUGGGCUCUGAUACCCUGUGCAUAGUUGGACAGGUGGGCAGCAUAACAUCACUCAUUUCUUACCAUCUUAUUCCCCUCCAAUUCUCAAUGUAUUCAAUAAUGAAGAAUGAUGCCAUCACUCAAGCAACAAGCCUCAAACUCACCCAUGUCAUCUUUUUCUUGGAUGAUUGCAGUUAUCUCAAAAAUUUGCAUGCAAAAUACACACUCAUCCUACUUGAAGAUGGUGGUGGAAAUAUUCAGGAGAAGGUAGCGUUGGAGUCCUGAUUUGAGAUUUGAAGGAUGAAGACGAAGCAAGGAAGGAACAAAUGAAAAACUGUCUUUGUUCAUGAAUAGGAAUAUUAAAGAUUGCAAAAGUAUCAGAUCUCCCCAAAUUGAUCUAUGGAUUUAAUACCAUUUCCAUUGGAAAUUCCAGCAGAGAUUUUAUUGAAUGAAACAAGCAGGUGUUUAAAUUUAUAUGGAUUAGCAAAGGACUUAAAAUUACCAAAUGCUUCUAAAUAUGAAGGAAAGAUUGAGGAGAUGCACCCUAUGUGAUACCAAGUUUUAUUGUCAAGACAGUGUCAUAUGGUGCAGAGGUAGGCAUUAUGAGCAGGGGAACAAAAUAAGGGCCUAGAAACUUGCCUAGGCAUAUGUUGACCUUUGCAAAAUGACCUGGUGACAUGGCAGGUCAGUGGGGAUAGGAAGGAUCAUUCCCUAAGUAGUCCCAGAACAAUGGCUAUUCAUGUGGGAAAAAAAGAAAUUUUAAUUUAUCUCACCUUACCCAAUGAUAAGUUCCAAAUAUGUUAAGGGCUUUAAUACAGAAAGCAAAAAUUGUCAGUGUUUGGAUGAAAAAAGCCUUAGGGCAGGAAAGAAUCUCUUGAGACAUAAAGUAGUAAUCACAAAUGACAAGGUGGUUAAGUGAAUUCUGUUAAAACUAAAGACUUACAUUAAGCAAACACUUGAAGUGAGAAUGUGAGCCACAACUUGAGAAGACAUUUAUAAUACAAAUAACUGACACGGGAUUCAUAAUCACAAAUAUAGAGAAUUUCUGUUUAAAAAAAAAAUAGAAAAAUAGAGAAGACUACACAAGAGGAAAUAAAUAGGGCUUUUAAAUAAAUAGAUGUUCUGUAGCAUUGGUGGUCAGGGAAAUACGAAUUAGGACCACAAUGAGAUUCCAUUUUAUAUCCGUAAGAUUUGCAAAAGUUGGGUCUGACAAUACCAGGUGUUAGAUCUGUAGGGACUUGUACAACAUUGUGGAUGUGUAAACAGGCACCACUGCUUUAAAAAACAAUUUUCCCUCACAGACUUGAACACUUGCAGACCUUAUGAUCUUGCUUCCAACUCCCACCUGUACGUCCAGCAAACUCUUGUAUGUGGCCCCUAGGAGGAAUGGUUCAGGAAGCUGGAAGUCCAAGAUCAUGGUGCCAUCAUGGCCGGGUUCUGGUGAGGGCCCUCUUCUGGGAUGCAGCGGCCAGCUUCUCAUGUUCUCACAGUGGGUGGAGGGUAAGCUUGCUCUCUGCCUUCUCUUAUAAGGGCACUAAUCCCAUUCAUGAGGGCUCCACCUUCAUGACCUAAUUACCUCCCAAAGAUGCCAUCUCCAAAUACCGUCAUCCUGGGGAUUCCAUUUCAACAUGAUUUGGGGGAUACGUCAGACCAUAACACUUCUCUUUUUCGCAACCUUCACAUCUAGUUGGUUCUCAAGCCCUGGUGGUUUUACACACUAGAUAGGUCUUAAGUUCAUCUCUACGCCUGCCCUGGUUUAGGUUCUCAUCAUUUCUCCUCUGAAUUCGUCUGCAACACAGGCUGCCGAGUUGGUUCCCACCUCCUGGGGCUGGAAGAGUGGGCUCUCUGAUUCUUUACACCCCCGCCUCAAUCCUCCUGCUGCCUGAAUAACCAUCUCCCCGUCACCUAGGGUAUAUCCCAGCCCCUUAGAGGCAUGCAAAGCCUUCCAUGUCUGACCCUGCCUUAUGCCUUGGAAGCCCUAGACCCCUGCUGUACCCUGAAGGAGGUGUCUGUUCACAUUGGCCCCUCUGUCUGGAAUAAACCCACCCCAGUUCUACCCAAUUCAGGAAAGCUUCCCAACCCCUCCCUGCCACCACCCCAAAGCUAAGUGACCCCUCUUCUUGCCUCUGUAACACCACCAUGCACAUAUUAUACAGUCCUUGCUGACACAUAACCCAGUUCCCUGUUAGACUUAACGUUUCCUAAAGGCAGGUUUGGAACCUUACUCGUCUUUGUAUGGUGUCUAGAAUAGUGCUUGCUUUAUGAUAGGUGCCCAGUAGAUGUCUUGAAUGAGUUGAGCAGAUCCUCUAGGGACAGGAGUUGGAUGGAGAGCAGACUGUAAAGCCUCAUGAGGGCAGGGGCCCUGCCUCUUCCUGAGCUCAGAAUACCCAGAGCCUAAUUCAGUGCCUGCCAUGAAACUGUUCACUCCAUUAAGCCUUGUUAAAUGAGUUGGGGGCGGGUGCACUAUGAUGGUUUUUCUUUCAGAAAGAAACCGCACUAUCAAAGCCCUAGCACCUUCUCUCUACCCACCUCAGGAUUUCAUAUUAGAUGGGGCCCAAGUGAUAUUUUCUUUACCAUCCCAUGAAGACAGCAUAUUGGCAGCCCUGCAAAAACAAAACAAACCCCUCAAUUCAUGGCAUACUUGCUAUAAAUUAACUACGUGUAUUGUCAAAUUGUAGAACUGAAAGUAUACUCUGAUUUGGUGUGUGCGUGUUUCUGUUUAAGGAAAUAUAUGCUAGUAUAUGCAUUAAAACAUCAAGAAGAGCUGGGCAGAGUGUCACAUGCCUGUAAACCCAGCUACUCAGGAGGCCGAGGUGGGAGCAUCGAUUGAGGCCAGGAGUUUGAGGCUGCAGUGAGCUAUGAUUGCAUCGCUGCACUCCAGCCUAUGCUGAGACCUCAUCUCUUAAAAAGUCCAAGAGGAUACACAGAAAUUUUUAAGUGGUUACCUCCACGGAAGGGGAUUAGGGGAUCAGAGGUGAGGGAACUCAUGGUUUGGCUAUUUCUCAUUCUUUCUGCACUGUUUCAAAUUUUUACAAGUGUGUGUUAUUGUACUUUUAAAAAGAUUAGCUUGGCAACAAGUCUAGCCUGAAAUGGGUGCUAUUUUGACUAGUCUGAGUGAAAAGUGAGGAUUUAAAUGAAGUAACCCCUAAACUCAGCCCGUCCCAUUUUUUUUUUUAACACUUGGAAUAUCUAAUUCCAUUUACACUGCAUUCUUCAAAUGUAAUUUUCAAAGAUGGCUUUUGCCUCAUCCCUUGCUUUUAAGUAUUAUUAUAGCCUUUUGGAGACUCACAAAACAAGCAGUCCCUAAACUCUCGCCUAGGAAAGUAUCUUGGAAUAAAUGGUUUUUGAGAACCGUCAGAGUGUAUAUUCUAUGAAAUGGAAGAAACAAGAACUAGACAGAGUCAUAAAUGCUGUUGGUCACAGACAAUCUCUGCCAUCCAUAAGGUAAAUAUAAUACAUAUGGCAACCUGCUGAGUGUGAACUUGGCAGCAGGUGAGGAAGGAACUUUGAACUCUCACAACCUUGUUUCUUCAUUUCCCAGAGAGAAACUCGGCAAAGAGAAAAGGGACAUUUCCUUCCAGAUUAUCUGAAAGAAUUUCAAUGCUUACCUUUAAUCACGUGACGUCUUAGUAGUAGAAAAGAAGAGGUAUUUAUUUUGUUCAUAUUUUCAAUAAAAAAAUACAUAAAAUCAAGUUGGUA